rnacentral:rRNA from 1 species
GAUGAACGCUAGCGGCAGGCCUAAUACAUGCAAGUCGAACGAUAGUUAAUCUUUCGGGAUUAACGAAAGUGGCGCACGGGUGCGUAACGCGUAUGCAACCUACCCUUAACUGGGGGAUAGCCCGAAGAAAUUCGGAUUAAUACCCCAUAGUAUCCUCAGACGGCAUCAGAAGAGGAUUAAAGAUUUAUUGGUUAAGGAUGGGCAUGCGUGACAUUAGUUAGUUGGUGAGGUAACGGCUCACCAAGACCACGAUGUCUAGGGGUUCUGAGAGGAUGAUCCCCCACACUGGUACUGAGAUACGGACCAG